CAACAUGAAAUUUUAAUCAGGUCGUGCUAAACCUCCCCUCUGCCCGUACGGCCUCUAAAUGAAAAGUUUAUCAGGGUUUAGUGUGUAUCAUUCAACAAUCGAACAAAUCAAUCGCUAGAAGUAAACUCAACCGAAGAACUCAAUCGGUACAGAUCAAUCGCUAACGAGAUUGCGUCUUAAGCCAGAACCUAUCCAUCGGAGUUCCUGUACGAUUAUGUAAGCCUGCAUGCUUAAAGUGUGAAGCGAUGAAGCCUUUGGAAUAGCGCUUUUUUCGGUCUGAAGCGUCAUAACACGUGAAGCGCUUUGAGGCGAGCUUUAAGCGCGAUACCCCAAUCUGCAGGCCGGUCAAGGGGGUAAUAGGCCGCAGCAAGGUGGUGCGCCUUACAUGGGUCAUGGUCGCUAGAUUCCACCAUGUUUUUGUUUUGGACGCCGCUGAAUCUUCUCAAGUUCCAGCAAGUUAUGCAAAAGAAGUCUUUAUUAUAUGUUGCAAAAAGUUAACUUUGCCUAAAGAGCAGAUUUGUAAACCCGUAUUUUCUUAUCUUUAGUUACUUGAACUCUUUUAAAACAAUGUAGUCUUUUGAUUCUUCUAUUAUGUUUUCCAAAAAAAAGUUUGUAGUUA